CAACUACUCCCUCUGUCCCAAAUUUCUUGUCUUAGAUUUGUCUAGAUACAGAUGUAUCUAAUACUAAAAUGUGACUUGAUACAUCCGUAUCUAGACAAAUCUAAGACAAGAAUUUUGGGACGGAGGGAGUAAUUU
rnacentral:pre_miRNA from 1 species